GAUAUGUCCUGCUUUGCAAAUAUUCCUACCCUUGUUUCCCCUAACACUGUCCAUUUCCUUGUUUCACAAUUUGGCCAGCAUGAAUGAUUUAUGAAUCUUGCAAAACUUCCCUUCCGGGUGGCAUCAAUGAAAUGAUUCGCGUCCAGAGAAAUUAUGUACGCAUCCUUGAGCCCAUGAGCUUCAUAAGCCUGAGACCUUUUCUUUGCUUCUUCAGAUGAUAUCACUUCUCCACAGUAUUCAAUGAUGAACUGUCCAGCCUUUAUAUUCUCAUCAGCUAAAAGACCCCAACCACGCCCUUCAGUCCUGAACAACUUAGUUUUUGCAUAUUCACAUUUCUGGAAUCUCUGAUUUCUGCAAGUUGCACCACACUGACAGUAACCCGGGGUACAUUCAGUGUUGGUUAUUACAUUCAAGC
rnacentral:misc_RNA from 1 species